AAUGAACGUUGGCGGCGUGGAUUAGGCAUGCAAGUCGCGCGACAAGGAACCUUCGGGUUCUGGAGGAGCGGCAAACGGGGUAGUAAGGCAUCGGAACGUACCCUCUUGUUGGGAAUAGCCGCGGGAAACUGCGAGUAAUGCCCAAUAAUCCCUACGGGGCAAAGGUCCGCCGCAGGAGGAGCGGCCGAUGUGAUACCAGCUAGUUGGUGAGGUAAUGGCUCACCAAGGCUUAGACGUCUAGGGGGUGUGAGAGCAUGGCCCCCACCACUGGGACGUGAGAUACUGCCCAGACACCUACGGGUGGCUGCAGUCGAGAAUCUUCGGCAAUAGGGCGCAAGACCUGACCGAGCAACGCCGCGUGCGGGAGUGAAGG
rnacentral:rRNA from 1 species